rnacentral:rRNA from 1 species
UACGUAGGGUGCGAGCGUUGUCCGGAAUUAUUGGGCGUAAAGAGCUCGUAGGCGGUCUGUCGCGUCGGAUGUGAAAGCCCGGGGCUUAACUCCGGGUCUGCAUUCGAUACGGGCAGACUAGAGUGUGGUAGGGGAGAUCGGAAUUCCUGGUGUAGCGGUGAAAUGCGUAGAUAUCAGGAGGAACACCUGUGGCGAAAGCGGCUCACUGGACCAUAACUGACGCUGAUGCACGAAAGCUAGGGGAGCAAACAGG